rnacentral:misc_RNA from 1 species
GCCUUCAGCCGGGAGGCGCAGGAGGCGCGGAGCCAAUCCAGCCGUCCUGCCGCCGUCCGCGCGGGCCGUCCGUCCCUUCGGGGCCCCCGGGCCCCGGGCCCGCGGCUCCGGGGGGCGGGCGGGGACCCCCGGGGCCCGCCGGCCGCCCGGGGGGUCGAGGACGCCGUCUGCCGGGCGCCUAGCAGCGGCCCCGGGCCCCCGCGCGGCGCGCGCGUCUCCGGAAGCCCGGCCUGGGGCGUACUGGGGCCGGGGCAGUGGCCGGGCCCGGGAGCCCCCGCCGGCCGCGGAGCUGGUGGGCAGCGCCGUGUGGCGCGUGGAGCGCGCGGGGGCCGGGGGCUGGCGCUGGGAGCGCGCCGUCGGCGUGGACUGCAGCGCCCCGGAACCGCGCUGCCUCUGGCUGCCCUGCCUCAGCCACAGCGACCGCCGCGCGCCCGGGCCGCGCCGGGCCAGGCUGCCACUGGGCCCAAGAGAUGGGUGCUCUCCUAGGCGCCCCUUCCCCUGGCAGGGGCCGAGGACGCUGCUGCUGUACAAAAGUCCCCAGGACGG